rnacentral:rRNA from 1 species
CCUACGGGGGGCUGCAGUGGGGAAUAUUGGACAAUGGGGGGAACCCUGAUCCAGCCAUGCCGCGUGUGUGAAGAAGGCCCUCGGGUUGUAAAGCACUUUCAGUGAGGAAGAACGCCUGGUGGUUAAUACCCAUCAGGAAAGACAUCACUCACAGAAGAAGCACCGGCUAACUCCGUGGCAGCAGCCGCGGUAAUACGGAGGGUGCGAGCGUUAAUCGGAAUUACUGGGCGUAAAGCGCGCGUAGGUGGCUUGAUAAGCCGGUUGUGAAAGCCCCGGGCUCAACCUGGGAACGGCAUCCGGAACUGUCAAGCUAGAGUGCAGGAGAGGAAGGUAGAAUUCCCGGUGUAGCGGUGAAAUGCGUAGAGAUCGGGAGGAAUACCAGUGGCGAAGGCGGCCUUCUGGACUGACACUGACACUGAGGUGCGAAAGCGUGGGUAGCAAACAGGAUUAGAUACCCGGGUAGUC